AUUAGAUACCCUGGGUAGUCCACGCCGUAAACGAUGAAUACUAGGUGUAGGGGGUAUCGACUCCCUCUGUGCCGCCGCUAACGCAUUAAGUAUUCCGCCUGGGGACUACGGCCGCAAGGUUGAAACUCAAAGAAAUUGACGGGGACCCGCACAAGCAGCGGAGCAUGUGGUUUAAUUCGACGCAACGCGAAAAACCUUACCAGGCCUUGACAUUGAGUGAAAGUUCAAGAGAUUGAACCCUCCUUCGGGACACGAAAACAGGUGCUGCAUGGUUGUCGUCAGCUCGUGUCGUGAGAUGUUAGGUUAAGUCCUGCAACGAGCGCAACCCUCAUAUACAGUUGCCAAUAUUCAGUUAGGAACUCUGUAUAGACUGCCGUGGUUAACACGGAGGAAGGUGGGGAUGACGUCAAAUCAUCACGGCCCUUACGGCCUGGGCUACACACGUGCUACAAUGGCUAUUACAAAGAGUUGCAAUAUGGUAACAUGGAGCGAAUCUCAAAAAGAUAGUCUCAGUUCGGAUUGUGGGCUGCAACCCGCCCACAUGAAGUCGGAGUUGCUAGUAAUCCCGAAUCAGCAUGUCGGGGUGAAUGCGUUCCCGGGU
rnacentral:rRNA from 1 species